GUGAGGAACUACUAGGUGGUGAACCGGACUCCCAAACGAGGCUGGUUGAAGGAUAUAAACCCAGCUUGGGGAAAACCCAAAACCAGGACACAGGUCUUCCAGCCCCUAGCCCAGAGAUUCCUUGACAGGACACCCUAUCAUCCUCGGUCAUCCAGAGUCUUGUUCCCAAGACUCUGCGGGACCUUCAACAGUUUAGAGAAUGGAGGGUUCCACAGGCCUGGUGCAUCAGAGUACAGAAGCUGUUAGAUCUUGCCCUGUGGACGUUUCCUCACUCCCUCACUCCCUCCAAAUUUCUGAGGCCCUCUCCAAAUCACGUUCCCUGAGAGGAUGCUGAAGAAGCCACAAACAAAACUUUCACCCCUGAGGCAGGACACACCAGAAACCGGAGUGCCAGGGCUAUGUGAAGAGCCCAGUGAGAGGUGAAUUUGGGGGCCGGCCCCGUG